CUCACCCUCUCUCUCUCCUCUCUCUCUCUCCCUCUCCCUCUCUCUCUCUCUUUUAAAAAAUCAGCCAUUUGGGGUUUUAAGCCAUAAACGAUUUUUCUUGUUGCAGGGGAUUGCAGAGGCAAAGCUAGACUAGGUCUUGGAGGCUGGUGUAAGGCGGUGCGCGGAAGGCAGGACGCUGAUGGGAGAGACUGGUCGAAGAAAAGCCGAAAUGGAUUCUCCGUGCUUUGGAUGGAGAAAGAGGGGGGAAGUGCGAGCUCCUUCAACUCGUUCUGUCCGGUGAGGAGUGAUCCAGCUUGGGCUGACGAGAGGCUCCGGAGCCUUCACGUUCAGUGCUUUUUACCUGCCAAUCAAACUGCUACAAGACAACACCCUGAUCUGGCAUGGUCGCAUCGAACCUAGAAAUUGUACUUUCCUCAAGAUCCGCUUAAGAGAAUCUGGUUGAUGGCUUUGGUCUGAGAGUUCAGACAUCUCUUGUGCAACUAAGAAAGACCUCAUUUUCCAUUUGCUGGAUCCUCCUGGUUUGUCAUCCCUGAGUCCUGUAAGAAGCUCAUCAGGAGGUCCCCUGCGCCGGAAGGACCAUGUGAGUUCAUCCCAGAUGAUGGGUGGCACCAUGGUUUUAGCAGCUCACACAGUGGAGAACCACAUUUGCUCUGGAAGAGCUUAGCAACAUGUAUUUGAUAACACAACAAGGUCUUUUGUCUACACACAUGACUGUGUACCAUGUGCACGCCUGGUGUUCAUGGAAGUCAGAAGAGGGCAUGGGAUUCCCUGGGACUUCAGUUACAGACAGGUUUGAGCUGCUAUGUGGUUAUUGGGAAUUUGAACCUGGGUCCUCUGAAAGAGCAGCCAAUGGUCCUGAUUGGUUGAGCCACCUCUUCAGCCCUGGGUGUUGUCUUUAAUGUACAUAUUAUUUUUGUGAAGUCAUUUGUUACAAAAUGAAGUAUGUAAUAACAAGUCUUUUGGGGUUUUCCCCCCUAAUUUUAUUAUUUCAAGGAAGGUACAAUGAAGAGUCUUCACUCAAGGGGAAAAACUACCCUGAGCCUGUUUUUGAAGUAAAAAUUUUUGUUUGGCGAUUUCCUCCGAUAGGUAGAAUUUAUUCUGGGUCUUAUUUCAAAGCCGAUUAUUCUGAGAAGAGAAGGGCAAUAUUACAAAGACAAUCACGUUGUGUAAAAAGAUUUGCUUGUGCCUCAUUCAUAUGUUGUCAACAAUAUGACCUAAAAAAUAGGAAGAAAGAGGUGAAAAAAGACACGAAACAAACAUAAAAACAGUAUCUGCUUCAAACAUCAAACUUUUCCGUUUGGAAGGGCAUCUUUUAGGUCUUUAUCAACAUCCAAAGUAUAAACAAAUCAAAGGUGUCUUUCUUGUUCUUUUAAAAAACAUUAACUGUGAUACACAUCUCUGUGAGGUAGGUUUUAACAUAUUUUUUCCUAUUUUUUUUCCCCUGCUCCAUUCAGUAAGAAGGAUAAGCCUUUAGAGUAUCCAGUCACCGUGGUAACUGCCAAAAAAAUUCUCCUGAAGUUUGAAGAGGUCAGGUCUUGGGGUCGACAACUCUGCCCUCUCCCUGAGCCCAAGCAAUGGCGGUCCUGUGGUUGGAGUGUCAGGCCAGAUCUGACCGUGGGAGGUGCCCCACUCUGGCACGGAGAGAAAUUUUUUGAGUCAGUUCAUGGCCUAGACUCUCCAGGUGGCCUCCAAAAUCAAUUCUGACCUCCUGACCCUGUCUCACAGAGGCAUAGCAUGCACCCUAAGUAAGGAUUUAGCCAGAGACGACAGCAUUUGCUGAGUGUUAUUUGGGACAGUAUAAACACUUGAACAGGCAAGUGAGGGGUUGUCAGCCCCAGAAAUCAUUAAAGCUCACAGCAAAACAAGGAACUCUGCUUUCAAAAGUUACAAGUGCCCAUGUGUCUGAUUCAGAGUCCCUACCGGAAUAAAAAUCAGUUUCAUGUAAAUAAUAAAACCAACAGUUACUCUUUUAUAUCUUUUGCUACAAAUAUGCAAAUAAGAUAGAAAGAUCUUCAAGGAACUAGACAAAGCACGAGUAUCAUGUGCUAGAGAAGGAAGCUAAUUAUUAAAAUUCAUUAAUAAGCAAAGAACUUGUAGCAUUGUUAAAGUGGUAAAGUUCAUGCCGGUUUUGAAAGAUUUUAAAGGAAAAAUUUUGACAGUGCUGCCUUGUCUGGACAAAGAAAUCUAAGCAGUGGGGAUGAGGAUGGAAUUGUCUGCCUCACUCCCUUGCUACUUUGUAAAGCAAAUGACUUAUAGCCUCCAUUUAGAUACAAAGUAGAGAAACUUUGUAAAUAAGGAAAAUCCCAUCACUCACAGCUAAAGAAGAAGAAAAGAGAGAAAAGACAAAAUGUAACAGUGUCUCCCGGCAGAGUUACAAGUUGUCAACAGUUUAAGCUAUCUAAAGUCUGGGGAACAACACCAAGAUGUAUAUAUACACUUGUGAUUCUCUGUGUGCAAGCUGUGCAGAGCAUGCACGCUCAUAUACCCUUGUGAUUCUAUUUGUGUGUGCUCAUGUGUGUAUGUGCACACACACACACACACACACACACACACACACACACACUUUCUUUUUUCAGAAUGCAUCAUCACUCAAGUAUCACUUUUCCUGAGAGAGCAGCGGUCCAGGCCACUCCCUGAAAGAGGCCCAGAAGGGCUCUGCCUUGACCCCCGCCGAGCUCCCCCCUCAUCCCUAUUUGCUUUCCCUCUUUGCCAGCUCUGCAAAUGGCAAGUUCCUUCCCCAUAGGAAACAGCUGCCAUGCCUUUCCAUCUGAUUCUUUUGUGAAAAUUCUAAGUGAGGCUGAAUAUCCUUUGGGGUACAGACUGGGAGGGGAGUGCUCUACACACACUUUCUGCUCCAAGGCCUGGGCCUUACUAGGCUUCUCACUCCAUUAAAUCCCUAUUAUAAAACUUAUCUCCACAAAGCCUAUUAUAGUGUUCUGAGAACAAACUGGACCAUGAAUAACUUAGUUGGAAGUGUAGAUUAUUUUCUACUGGAGAAAAGUUAGACAUGACAACAGCUUAGCCGAGAGAACAGUGAUUCAUCUUAAAUGGAUGGAUUCAGAGUGCAAUAAAGAGCAUCUCUCUGUUUCCUCUUCACCCUCAUGACACACUUCUUUGUCUUAAGCAUGUCCUGAUGAUGCCAUUGUUCCCCAGCAAAGCACAGAUCUCACAGGGAUAAUGUCCUUCUAGCAGUGGACCUGUAGACAGAUAGAUAGGUCAAGGGGCUCCUGUACUCAGAUGUGGGAUGAAAUAAUAGGGAUAGGAUCUUACAUAAAUCAAUUUUCCAAUUAAAUACAAUUAUUAUUUCCUUUUGUUUCCCCAUGGAGUCCAGGCAUGAUGGCAUGGUGGAAUAUUCCUUGAAUCAUAGCACUCCUGAGGUAGAGGGCAGAGAGAUCUCUAUGAGUUUAAGGCAAGUCCUGUCUAUGCAGUGAGUUCGAGGACAGCGCAGUUGCACAGUAGAAUCCAAGAAGAAGAAGAAGAAGAAGAAGAAGAAGAAGAAG
ensembl:processed_transcript